rnacentral:misc_RNA from 1 species
GGAUAUUAAUAGCGCCGCAAUUCAUGCUGCUUGCAGCCUCUGAAUUUUGUUAAAUGAGGGUUAGUUUGACUGUAUAAAUACAGUCUUGCUUUCUGACCCUGGUAGCUGCUCACCCUGAUGCUGCUGUCAAUAGACAGGAUAGGUGCGCUCCCAGCAAUAAGGGCGCGGAUGUACUGCUGUAGUGGCUACUGAAUCACCCCCGAUCAAGGGGGAACCCUAAAUGGGUUGAAAGGAGAAGUCAUUUAAUAAGGCCACU